UUGCUAUUUUCAAAAGAUGCUUCAGCCUAUAAGAUAUUAUUGGUUCAAUUUGUAAUUUGGUCCAAAAAUAUGGGAUAAUGCUGUCUGAAAAGGAAGCCAUGUAGGAUAGAUAACCAUUGAUUUUCUAGGGAUGAAUUUUCAAAAUGGAAAAUAUCAACCUAGUCCUCACAUCUCCCGAGAACUUUUCAAGUUUCCAAACCAAAACAUGUCCAUAAGACAGAUUCAACAAUUUCUUGCUAUUAUUAAUUA
rnacentral:misc_RNA from 1 species